UACGAAGGGGGCUAGCGUUGCUCGGAAUCACUGGGCGUAAAGCGCACGUAGGCGGAUUGCUAAGUCAGGGGUGAGAUCCUGGAGCUCAACUCCAGAACUGCCCUUGAUACUGGCGGUCUCGAGUCCGGGAGAGGUGAGUGGAACUGCGAGUGUAGAGGUGAAAUUCGUAGAUAUUCGCAAGAACACCAGUGGCGAAGGCGGCUCACUGGCCCGGUACUGACGCUGAGGUGCGAAAGCGUGGGGAGCAAACAGG
rnacentral:rRNA from 1 species